AUUGAACGCUGGCGGCAGGCCUAACACAUGCAAGUCGAACGGUAACAGGAAGCAGCUUGCUGCUUCGCUGACGAGUGGCGGACGGGUGAGUAAUGUCUGGGAAACUGCCUGAUGGAGGGGGAUAACUACUGGAAACGGUAGCUAAUACCGCAUAACGUCGCAAGACCAAAGAGGGGGACCUUCGGGCCUCUUGCCAUCGGAUGUGCCCAGAUGGGAUUAGCUAGUAGGUGGGGUAACGGCUCACCUAGGCGACGAUCCCUAGCUGGUCUGAGAGGAUGACCAGCCACACUGGAACUGAGACACGGUCCAGACUCCUACGGGAGGCAGCAGUGGGGAAUAUUGCACAAUGGGCGCAAGCCUGAUGCAGCCAUGCCGCGUGUAUGAAGAAGGCCUUCGGGUUGUAAAGUACUUUCAGCGGGGAGGAGGGCGAUAAGGUUAAUAACCUUGUCGAUUGACGUUACCCGCAGAAGAAGCACCGGCUAACUCCGUGCCAGCCGCCGCCGUAACAC
rnacentral:rRNA from 1 species